GAUGAAGAACGCAGCGAAAUGCGAUAAGUAAUGUGAAUUGCAGAAUUCAGUGAAUCAUCGAAUCUUUGAACGCACCUUGCGCUCCUUGGUAUUCCGAGGAGCAUGCCUGUUUGAGUGUCAUUAAAUUCUCAACCUCACCAGUUUUGUUAUGAGACUGUGUAAGGCUUGGAUGUGGGGGUUUUUGCAGGCUGCCUCUGUGCGGUCUGCUCCCCUGAAAUGCAUUAGCGAGUUCACUAAGCUCCGUCUAUUGGUGUGAUAAUUAUCUACGCCGUGGAAUGGGUUUAGACUUGCUUCUAACCGUCUGCAAAGACAACUUUUGACAAUUUGACCUCAAAUCAGGUAGGACUACCCGCUGAACUUAAGCAUAUCAAUAAGCGGAGGA
rnacentral:misc_RNA from 1 species